rnacentral:rRNA from 1 species
CUACGGGAGGCAGCAGUGAGGAAUAUUGGUCAAUGGACGCAAGUCUGAACCAGCCAUGCCGCGUGCAGGAUGACGGCCCUAUGGGUUGUAAACUGCUUUUUGUACGGGAAUAAAACCAGUUACGAGUAACUGGCUGAAGGUACCGUACGAAAGCAUCGGCUAACUCCGUGCCAGCAGCCGCGGUAAUACGGAGGAUGCAAGCGUUAUCCGGAUUUAUUGGGUUUAAAGGGUGCGUAGGUGCGGACUGGUAAGUCAGUGGUGAAAUGCUGCAGCUCAACUGUAGAAUUGCCAUUGAUACUGAGCCUUGAGUACAGUUGAAGUGGGCGGAAUGUAGCAUGUAGCGGUGAAAUGCAUAGAUAUGCUACAGAACACCAAUAGCGAAGGCAGCUCACUAAGUUGUAACUGACACUAAUGCACGAAAGCGUGGGGAUCAAACAGGAUUAGAUACCCCCUGGUAGUCCACGCUGUAAACGAUGAUUACUGGUUGUUUGCGAUAUAUAGCAAGUGACUGAGCGAAAGCAUUAAGUAAUCCACCUGGGGAGUACGUCGGAGGUUGAAACUCAAAGGAAUUGACGG